ACGUAGGGUGCAAGCGUUGUCCGGAUUUAUUGGGCGUAAAGAGCUCGUAGGCGGUUUGAUAAGUCGGGUGUGAAACCUCCAGGCUCAACCUGGAGCCGCCACUCGAUACUGUCAUGACUAGAAUUCGGUAGGGGACCACGGAAUUCCUGGUGUAGCGGUGAAAUGCGCAGAUAUCAGGAGGAACACCAGCAGCGAAGGCGGUGGUCUGGGCCGACAUUGACGCUGAGGAGCGAAAGCGUGGGGAGCGAACAGGAUUAGAUACCCUGGUAGUCCACGCCGUAAACGUUGGGCACUAGGUGUGGGGACUAUUCAACGGUUUCCGUGCCGCAGCUAACGCAUUAAGUGCCCCGCCUGGGGAGUACGGCCGCAAGGCUA
rnacentral:rRNA from 1 species